ensembl:lncRNA
ACGGGCUGUCAGGCGUGUGGGCUUCAGUCGUUGCGGCUUUGGGGCUCUCGAGCACAGACUCAGAAGCUGUGGCACCUGGGUUUAGUUGCCCCGUGGUAUGUGGGAUCUCCCCGGAGCGGGGAUUGAACCCGUGUCCCCUGCUUUGGCAGGCAGAUUCUUUACCUCUGGGCCGCCAGGGAAGCCCAUUACUUGUACUUUUCUCUCCCCUUGCAGACCGGCCCCCUCGAAGGUCAAGAGUGGCUCUCUCCUUCCCCUCAGCUCCCUCCGUGGUGGCUGGUUCAUGACUCGGGGUCCCCCCCAAAGGUGGGGCUGCCCUUGCUCCUCAGCCACAGGACUCUGGGCCGCUUGCUGAGCCUCCCUGAGCUUUGCUGCUCUGCUUUCCUCAGAAGGUUGUCGGGGUCAGGGAGGAUGUGAGAGCCCUGUGUGAAGAGCGACACGCUCUCCCUGUGUCAAGCGUGAUGGUCCUCAGAGCACGGGGCUGCCCGCGGAGGUCACGUGGAGGCGAGACGGGUGUCAGGCCACACCCGCCCGCCUGCCCCAGUUUUCCGAUAACAAUGGCGGGCACUUCCUGGGUCUGUUCCAUGGACCGGACACCGUGCAGAGCAUCUCACCCAGACUCUCUCUCUCUCUGUCUCUCUCUUUGAUCCCCUCUGGGAGCCUUCGCGUAGGCAGCAUGACCUCCCCCAGCUGAGGACGGGGCCACCGAGGCACAUGGCAGCUAAGCUGUGUUGCCUGAGGUCACACACUUGACCGAUGGUGGGGCUGGAACCUGGACCCUGGCGUCUGGCCUCCAAAGCCCAGGCUCUUAGGUACUGAGCCUCCUGGCUAAGCCAACGCAGGGCAGAGAGAGGCAGCCCUGGGGUCCUCGUAUCCACUCUCUAGGAACCUUCAGGGGUCAGAGAGCAUUUGCUCUGAUAGGCCUUUUUCGGCACUGAAGCACUGAGGCCCAAAGAGCUUCCCUCCAUCUCUUUCACGCCCACCAGGCAUCUGAGGCAAAGCAGGAGCCUGGCAACAUCUGCCGGAAACCUGGAUGAUGCCUAAGCCUGAGACACGGGUUUGAUGCCUGAUCUGGGAAGAUCCCACAUGCCAUGGAGCAACUAAGCCUGUAUGCCACAACUAUUGAGCCUGUGUUCUAGAGCCCAGGAACUGCAGCUACUGAGCCUGUGUGCUUCAACUGCCGAAGCCCACACCUCCAAGAGCCCAAGCUCCACAAGAGAAGACACUGCAAUGAGAAGCCUGUGCACCGCAACUGGAGAGCAGCCUCCUCUUGCAGCAACUAGAGAAAAGCCCAAGCUGCCACGAAGACCCAGCACAACCAAAAUUAAAAAAAGAAACAAACAUUGUGGGGCAAUGAAGAUAAGGACUGUUGUCGUCUUCACUGGCUUCCUCGAGGGUAAACCAAGGCACAGAGAGACAAGUCCUGGUCCAGGUUCACAGCUGCUCACCAGUUCCUGGAGAUAGAGUUGUUCUUCUCUCUGUCCACCCGUGGACCUGGGCAUCUGCUGUGCACCUGGCCCCCCUCCAGGCUGGGUGGCUGUGCUGGCCUUCACCUGUCCCAAGGGUGGGCAAGCCUCCAGCGUGUAUCCAGAGCUCCUUGGAGGCAGAGGUGCACGCCUGCAAGUGCAGGAUCUAUCGGUCCAGCGGUGUGUGUGCUCAGUCGCUUCAGUUGUGUCCGACUCUUUGCGACCCCAUGGGCUGUAGCCUCCCAGGCUCCUCUGUCUAGGGAUUCUCCAGGCGAGAUUAUUGGAAUGGGUUGCCAUGCCCUCCUCCAGGGGAUCUUCCCGACCCAGAGAUAGAACACACGUCUCUUACAUCUCCUGCGUUGGCAGGCCAGUUCUUUACCACUAGAGCCACCUGGGAAGCCCUGGUACAGCAGGACCUGGCUCCAAAUCCUACUUCCAAUAUCUUAAUAAUAAAGAUACAAAU